UGGCAGUUAAGAGUCAGAAUCCAGAGUUCAAUAGACUUGGCUUAGAAUCCACCUGCUAACACUUUUUAGUGGAUAAUCCUGGGUAGUUUACUUAUCCUCUCACAGCCUCAGUUUCCUCGCUUAUAAAAUGUGGAUAAUCAGAGUUUCUGGUCACAGUGUUUGAAGGUUAAUACAUGAUCAUAGUGCCAGGAACACGACGAGCAAACAAUUUGUGUUAGCUGCUUGGAGAAGGUCUGGCACUGCAAGGAGGGUAGGGCUUUAGUGUGGUAGCCCAGGAUGCCCAGAGGUGACAAAGGAGAGUGACACAGGAGAGGUGCCUGGUGGUGGCAAAAGUACUCACAAAGUGACUGGAGUCAUUGUUAACCAGGCAAAGGGGUUGUGCUGUUGGCGUAGCAUCCUUGUCCUCACGGAGACUCUGCAGCAGCAGACGUGGUACGGGAUGCGGGAGAUACAGAUGCUUCCUCACCCACAACCACUGCGCCUUCCUCCUUGUUGAACAGAAGCUGGUUAUAUUUGGAUAUUGGCAGCAUGCUGGGAAAGGAGGUGGUGCCCAGCCAGGGAAAUGAGUCCUGAUUUGUCCAAGCCAAUCAUAUUCAUCCCAUUUUGCUUUGUGAAUGGUUGGUUAAGGGACAGCUGUGUGGCCCGUCUUGGCCAAAGGGAUGUAAGGAGAAGUUUGCUGGGAGGACAAGCUUCUGGAGAGAGUGUUCCUCUUCUCUAAAGAGACCGGUGAGAAGAAAUGCACUGCUUGGUUAUGGAUUAUUUUCGUCGACGCCACUUACGUGAUGAGAUGAGGUCUUCUGGAAAGUCUUCCUCACUUAAAAUGUUCCAGGCCUGUGCCUGUACUUUCAAGGCAUACCACCAGAUUCAUCGCCUGCCUUUUACGACGAGGAUGAUGGAUUUCUGCCAGAAUACUUAGGAUCACGAGCUGGGGAAGCUGUCCUGACAGAGUCCAUCAGCAUGUUCCUUGGGCAUGUCUCUCAAAGUCAUUUUUAACUCCUCGGAUUCAUUCGUCUUGUUCCUAAAUGCAGCAAGUAAGCUCCUGGCCGAAGGAGAAUCUUCCAAGAGGAAGGUGGUCCUUUUAUAAUUCCUAGUCUACUUACAGUCUACCUGCUGUGAUCCUUGCCUUUGAAUUUGAAAGAGCUCAGCAGCCAGCCCAUUUGGCUGUGGGGUGGAGAGGAUGGAGCAUGAGGUGGGACCUGCAAGGGCCGGAGAGGCCUUAGGCCAGGAACUACCCUCCUGGGCUUCUUUUUCCCCCUCCUGAAAUUGGUACAUCGAGUCUCUAAAGGGCUCUCGCAGCUCUGACAUUCGCUGAAUGAGCUGGGGCUCCCUGCCUCUCCCAGUUCCCCGCUGUGGCUGACGUCAUGAAGCCUGCUGUUUCUCACGGAUGUCACUCUUCCUACCUCUUUUCUUGUCCUCAUGCUGAUCCCACUAAUCGGGAUGGGACAGAUCCUCCAGAGAUUGUCCCCUGAAUCCCUGAGGCUGGCUGAACAGACCCCUUCUGUGGUUGCUUGCUGUGUGACCACGGGCAAAUGUCAAUUGACUUUACUUCUAUAACAUUUAUUGAGUUCCUAAUGUGUGCCAGGUACAGGGCGCUAUGAUGAGGAUGUGAAGAAUGCUCAUUAGUUAGGAGAGACAGACAUGCACCGUGCCAUCAACAUCAGUCAGUGAUUGGCAGCCCCAAGGCCCUGACUCACCAGCACAAAGGUCCAUGUGAUCAGGUCAGUUGCUGGCCAGGACUCUGAACCAGUGCAUGUUGAUUGACUACCACCUCUGAAUUGGGGCAAUAAAAAUGCAAUGUGAUAAAUGCUCUUAUAGAGG
rnacentral:lncRNA from 1 species